UCCGACCGGGCCCCCCAUCCUCGCCACUGGAGCACGACGGUCGGCGGGAGCGGCAUGACGUCGGGUAUGUAUGAGAGAAGAGAGAGAUGAGCAGGAGAGAAAAAGGGAGGACAAGAGGAGGCCAGAGGAAGAGAGAUGGGAGCGGUGACCGCGUACGACCGCCCCGACCACACGGUCGCGGCUUGGCCACCGCGGCCUCCGCGCGGAGCUUCGCGACUACGACCAGCCGGAGGUGGAGGCCAUCAUGUGGUGGGCCGUCAGGUCGGGCUUCAGGGACAACGUCGUCCUGCUCCGCAAGGUCAUCGGCCCCUACCUCAGCGCUAACGGCAGGUGCGUCAACGUCGACCACAGAGCCAGCUUCCCCUCCAGUAUUGGAUCGUCGAGCGCUUCCCUGCCAGGGAAGAUGGCAUACCUGCCUUUCCUGCCCUGCAUCUGAAUCCCCAUACGUGUACCUCCCCUUCAUGUUCAUCUACCUGGAGCCGGGACGGCGGAUCCCGUUCGUUCAGGCGCUCGAGGAGGGGUACUACCCCGAGGACGAAAGCCGGCGCCUGUUAUGGUUCAGGGGGUCCGCGUUCUGCCUGAGAGACGACAUGGCGUUCCUCGGGUUCCCUUGAAUGCGUGCAGCUCUCUCGCUCUCUCAUGUCUGAUGCACGCACGCUGUGCUACUGCUAUCUGGUGACUUUCUACGCACACACUGCAACAGGUUCUUCUUUGGUGUAUCAGGCCAGGCGUAAUUUGUUUUCAAAGAUGCUCACAUACACACACAAACGACAUCCAGUAGGCGCUUGGAACACCCGAUAGAUUGAAAGCACAGAAGCAAAUAUUUCCAAUACGAGGCCACGAUGCCCGACAGAGAUGUAGCCAAUGUGCGCACAAUCCUUAUUUCUUGAUGUUGGAACAAGUAAGAGCAUAUUCAUGUUUACUUAUUAUGUUUUUUUGAGAAAUUUAUGGGAUUUACAAGCUGAAAUUAUUGACUGCUUCAAAAGAUGUUUUAACCAAAACUGUUUGCACCAUAUUUCCCUGGUUCUGCAUUCAUGGAAUUGCUAAAAAAAUGAACAAGUUGAUAGUUUUGUUCCUAUCAAUAUUCCGUCCAAGGUGCCAAUUUGUUUCUUCACUUUGCUGAUCUCCUAAUGUCUUUCUGAACUAAUUAGAUUUUUUGAGCAUUACUGAACUAAUUAGAUUUUUUUAGCACUACUGAACUAUUUAGAUGCCAUCUUAAAUUACCUUCCCUUUGACACUGUUGUACACAUUCCUGAAACACUGCACAAUGGUUCAGCUGUGUACAUG